ensembl:snRNA U6 U6 spliceosomal RNA
AUCUGAAACGGCAGCAUGUAUACUAAAAAUUGGAGCGACACAGAGAAGAUUAGCACGGCCCCUGCGUAAGGAUGAAACGCAAAUUCGUGAAGCGUUCCACAUUGGG